rnacentral:rRNA from 1 species
GAUGAACGCUGGCGGCGUGCCUAAUACAUGCAAGUCGAGCGAACGGACGAGAAGCUUGCUUUUCUGAUGUUAGCGGCGGACGGGUGAGUAACACGUGGAUAACCUACCUAUAAGACUGGGAUAACUUCGGGAAACCGGAGCUAAUACCGGAUAAUAUUUUGAACCGCAUGGUUCAAAAGUGAAAGACGGUCUUGCUGUCACUUAUAGACGGAUCCGCGCUGCAUUAGCUAGUUGGUAAGGUAACGGCUUACCAAGGCAACGAUGCAUAGCCGACCUGAGAGGGUGAUCGGCCACACUGGAACUGAGACACGGUCCAGACUCCUACGGGAGGCAGCAGUAGGGAAUCUUCCGCAAUGGGCGAAAGCCUGACGGAGCAACGCCGCGUGAGUGAUGAAGGUCUUCGGAUCGUAAAACUCUGUUAUUAGGGAAGAACAUAUGUGUAAGUAACUGUGCACAUCUUGACGGUACCUAAUCAAAAAGCCACGGCUAACUACGUG